CCACUAAUUUUUUUUCACCUUCACUUUUGCUUCGUUUGUUAUUCCCUGUUGUCUCCCAGCUGUUGUGCUUCGUUUUAUCCCAAACCAGGUAGAACACGAGCUCGGCUUUGGUCUUCUGCCAGGUCGAAUUACAGAAAAAUUUGUGUAAGACCCUUCUUCACUAAGCUCUUGCUUACCUCAUUCGGAAACUCCUUUAAUCUGUGGGUGAGCCCAAAUUUACUUCAAUCAAGCUUUGUGUGCUGCACUCUGAAUUGAUUGUCUUGAUGUUCUUCCUCUGUGUUCACAAGCCCACUACGAAAGCAUUUUGCUUUUGUCAAUUUCUGGGAUGGGCUUAAUCUCAUUUGUUUAAUAUAGAGCCACCACCAAAUGAUCUAGGUAUAAGGCAAGGACAGUAGCUGCAGUCAAAGUUCCACAGUUUCAAUUUGAGAGUGAGCCUCUGGUUAUGGUCUUUCUUGUGGGAUUGUGUACAAGGUUUAUGUUUGGUUCCGGCAACUUUCUUUUGUAGGAUGGUCAUGUUGUAACAAGCUCAAAUACUGAAGCUUAAAGCAUUUCAAAUGGAAGCUGAUGUGAUUCACUCUGCUGGGCGUGAUGUUACCAAGGAAGUAAUCCAAGAGGUGAUCUGCAAAGUUGCAAGGCAGGCAGCGGACUUGCUUUCUGUAUUAUUUAUCCCCUUCGAAAUCUUCUAUGGAUAUUAAGGGGAUUGGAGUGGUCAACCCUCAAAGUUUUAAUGACCGACUCCCUAAGACAGCUACAUACUCUUUAGUAACUGUUACUGCAGGCUCAAAGAUCCCAUGCUUCCUCUGAUGCUGGAACCCAGCUCCCCCUAUCCAGUGGAGAUAUCUUUACUCUGUUGGCUUUAUUUCUUCAAAAUUUGGAAAGGAUUGCAAGCAAACUCCUAUGUGGGGGGACUAGGGAGGUCGGGUCUUUUAAGUUCGAUAAUUCGAGACCACAGACAAGAUGAUCCCCGACCCUCAGGUACUGUUUGUUUUAUACUGAAUAAAAUUUCCAGUACCCCUUGGGUAGUUUGGAACUGACUGUCUUCAUUUAGUACCUCUUAUAGACUAUAAUUCCUCACAGUACCUCCUGCUGUACCGCUCACAUUUAAUCUAAAAGCAUUUACAAUGGCAUUGGGAUUUUCAAGCUGAUGGGUGGGAUAUAUGCUUUGUUUUCUAUCGCAAUCCAAUUAAUUUCAGAUGAAUUCAUCAUAAGAUCAUUCAACCAUAGUCCAGCUAGAGAAAUCGAACCAUUUGCAGAACAACAUUUUAUGUCAGAGGAUUAUCUAACAAUGAGAAUGCAUCGUCAAGAAAACUCUGCACCCAUUGUCGGAUUGAUGAUGUUUUACCAAAGCUGGGUACUUUCUUUUCACUUAUCUCAAGUACAUUCUCAUCAAUUGACCUUUGUAAUCUUUGAGGGGCUUGAUUAUUCACUUGCUAGUUUGGCCACAUUAUACUUUGGCAUAGGAGACUAUUACCUUAAUGACUUAAUCUUUUUGGGGUAUGAAAGAGAAGUUAAGAGUGGACGUGACCUCGAGUUCCAUUCCAUGGAAACAUUGGAAAUGACUCUGAGUGGCUUGUAAACAUCGAACUGCAGUUGAGUCAUCUUUUCGAGUGGUUGGACUUGAUCAAAUGUAUUUUAGGAAGCUAUGGGAGGUUGUGACCAUGAGCUGUAACGUGAGGAAGUUCCCCACCAAAUUGUCUCUUUGGUUGUACCUAGGAUGGUUGUGGUGUAUUUCAGGUGGUUAAUUGGUGGUGGAAUUGAUACUAACAUCAUUCAUCAUGUGGAUUGUGAUAAUUCUUGUGGCUUGCAUCGAAGACUGUUCUGUUAUGCCAUCUAGAAAUCCAAUCAAUUUCAGGUUCUGUCAUGAAAAGUCCAUGAAGAGAAAUCGAACCUUCUGCAAAACAGCACUCUUAUGUCAGAGGAUUAUCGAGAAAUGAUAAUGCUCCAUCAAGAAAACUCUAGCAGACAUUGAACAUCUGCAAAAUAGCACUCUAUGUCAGAGGAUUAUCUAGCAAUGAUAAUGCACCCUCUUACCAAAACUAGAGAAUUUAAGAGUGGGUGUGACCCUGAAUUCCAUUCCAUGGAAACACUCUGGUGAUGAUUCUAAAUGGCAACAUUGAACAGGAAGCUAUGGAAGGUUGUGACCAUGAGCUAUCAUGUGAGCAAGUUUGACACCAGUUUUUUUUUUUUUUUUUUUUGGGGUUGUACCUAGCUAGGUUGUGCUUUUGUUGGUUCAACGUCUGUCUUCAUUGUUUAUAUAGAUGUCACUGGUUUUUUUUAUUUUUUGGAGGAAUGUUACAAUGCACUUGAGGUGAUUAGUUGGUUGUGAAAUUGGUACUGCCAUCUAGCUAGAGUCUAUCUUAUUUAUUCUAGCUAGAACAUUACUUCCAUUUCUAUUGGCAGUCAAAAUUACUUGAUAUAUAAAGUGUUUCUAGUUUCUUGGUUGCAACUAAUACAGUGUCAUUGAUGUUUCUGUUGUUUUAGAUGGACAGAAAAAUUGCAGUGCCAACACUUGCUGUUGAACCAAUUGAGUGCAAAUGCAGUGGUCCUCACAGACACUUGAAAGUGUUCUGUCGAUGGUCUUCACAGCACCUACAACAAUUUUUGGUUUUCCUUUUUGAACAAUUUGUCCUUAAUUUUUGUUUGCUCGAAAAACUUCAAAAAGGGAGUAUGUUUAGAACUUAACAUUGAAUGACCAUCAUGUUUGCUAUUCAA